rnacentral:rRNA from 1 species
GAGGCGUGCCUAAUACAUGCAAGUCGAGCGAACCACUUCGGUGGUGAGCGGCGAACGGGUGAGUAACACGUAGGUUAUCUGCCCAUCAGACGGGGACAACGAUUGGAAACGAUCGCUAAUACCGGAUAGGACGAAAGUUUAAAGGUGCUUCGGCACCACUGAUGGAUGAGCCUGCGGCGCAUUAGCUAGUUGGUAGGGUAAAGGCCUACCAAGGCGACGAUGCGUAGCCGACCUGAGAGGGUGAACGGCCACACUGGGACUGAGACACGGCCCACACUCCUACGGGAGGCAGCAGUAGGGAAUCUUCGGCAAUGGGCGAAAGCCUGACCGAGCAACGCCGCGUGAAUGAUGAAGGCCUUCGGGUUGUAAAAUUCUGUUAUAAGGGAAGAAUGGCUCUAGUAGGAAAUGGCUAGAGUGUGACGGUACCUUAUGAGAAAGCCACGGCUAACUACGUGCCAGCAGCCGCGGUAAUACGUAGGUGGCGAGCGUUAUCCGGAAUUAUUGGGCGUAAAGAGCGCGCAGGUGGUUGAUUAAGUCUGAUGUGAAAGCCCACGGCUUAACCGUGGAGGGUCAUUGGAAACUGGUCAACUUGAGUGCAGAAGAGGGAAGUGGAAUUCCAUGUGUAGCGGUGAAAUGCGUAGAGAUAUGGAGGAACACCAGUGGCGAAGGCGGCUUCCUGGUCUGUAACUGACACUGAGGCGGGAAAGCGUGGGGAGCAA